GAUAUAUUAGUAUUAUAGUAUGUUUAAUUUCCAAUUAAAAGGAGAAUUUAUUA
rnacentral:tRNA from 1 species